CCAAGGCCCCUCAUCUGGCCCUCCCAUAUGCAGGGACCAGGGAGCUUUGGCUGCUGUUGGGGCCAUGGUCCACCUGGACCCCCAGGAACAGGGGCGGGGGUGGAUCCCAGAGAGAAGGCUGCCUGCCUUUCAAACCAUAGGCUCCUCCAAGACUUGUUGGUUGGGGUGAUACCUACAGCCAGCCUGACUGCAAACAGACUUGUUCAGGGGUCAGGGCCUGUCACCUGAGGAGUCAGAUGGCUCUGAAGGGCUUGGCUGGUGCUGGGGCAGGCUUUGAGCAGGGUGGGGUCCAAGACACAGAGGCCUCUGGCCUCCCUCAGCCCCCCAGACUCAGAGGCCCCUAAGACGCCCUGCUUUACGUCCCAAAGGCGCAGCCACGUGGCAGUGAGGAUGAAGGUCCCAGACGUGUGAUUUUCUCGUUGAAGCCUUCUAUCAACUCCCCAGGUGGCUGUCGCCAUCAAGCCACUCUGCAGAGAGGAAGACUGAGGUCAGAGCUGCAGAUGGUAAUAUCCCAGUCCUGGCCUGCGUGGACUACACCCUGACAAGGAGCCAGGUGUCCUGCGCUGUUCCACAUAGGUGUCCUCACCAGCCAUUCUAGCCCCCAUCUCAAGAUGGGGAAACAGGACCAGUGAGGGUCAGGGACCUGGCAAAGCUGAGGAGAGGCCCAGGUCUUCAGGGCCCAGCUCUGGGGAGGGUGGGAACCUGUCUCCCUCUGUGCCCCCUGCCCCCAGGGAGGUGCCAGGACCGCCAUUGGGCGGGCUGGGACCCAUGCCGGCGAGGCCUGGCCUUCUGCAGCUGCUCUGUGGUGUUGCAAUCUCUCUCCCACUCCAGGCCCCAUAGCCUGCCCAGGCCAUGUCUCAACUUGCAGCAGCUCAUGCCCUGGGCCCGGAGGAAAACCUCACCCACCUCACUGGGACCCAGACGACAAGUCCCAGCGUGGCCUGGUCCCUGUGCCAGCUCCGAGUGUGAGAAAAUGCUGGGCCGGGGAGGAGGAGUGGCAGGUGGUGGGGGUGUGAGCAGGAACAACGCCCGGCCUUCUGGAGCCCAAGACGAGCCUAGCCCCAGCCUAGCCAUGCCCCCAGCCUCAGCCCCUGACCCCCAGCCCCCUCCCUUGGACUUAGCCCCAGCCCCAGCCCCCAGCCUUGCCCCUGGACCCCAUGGGCUCUAGCCCCUGGCCCCUCAUCAAGGGCUGACCCUGGGCUGCAGCUCCUACCCUUACCCUGCUCCCCCAUCAACUCUGUCCUUAAGGAGCAAAAAGCUGCACACAGCUGGUGCCCAAUAGUUGCCAGGAGGCAGAGCUGGGCAGUUUGGCGAAUGGCCAGCAGGAAUCUGCAGAGGGCUGGUGGUCAGCGCAUCCCCUCCCAGUCAGGGUCACCUUGGCCCUGGAGUGCAGGCGUGGAGACCCCUGGAGUGAUCCCACUCCCCAGCAUGGGAGGAAAACCCAGGCCUGGGGCCUGACCCAGGGCCUCUGGACACAGCAGUCCCUUGGGGGCCCUGAGCACUCUAAGGCCUGGUGUCUGGGCCUUCAGAGUGGUCCUGGAUCCUCCCCAGACCCCUGGUUUGCUGGCAAGAAAGGGAAGAAGUGGGGGGGCUGGAGCCUAGCCAGGAGCCAGGAGGGUGUAAGGACCCUGGCCAGCGAGGGGGCAGGAGUCGGGGUGGGCAAGAGAGUGUCUCUGGGGCCCUUGGCAGCAGGCAAGCCCUGCCCAGGCAAGUACCGGUUCUCGGCACCUGAGCCACUGAUGGGAAGGGAUGGGGCAGGCUGGGAGCUUGGGGUCACCACGUUGGGGACCUGCUGAGUACCUCCUGUGCCCAUGGCUUUCUGCAGGCUAUCUCCUCACAAAUGAGGAAACUGAGGCUCCCAGGGAGGAGGCUGGGGACAGGGGUGGGUUCCAAAUUGGAAGUGUUCACCCCAGAGCCCAGCCAGGCCCUCCCACAGGGAGCCCAGCCCCAGCCCACCCAGUCCACUCAGCCUUGGGAGACAGGAGGUUGCCCAGGAGCCCCGGAAGCCUUCCUGGAGGAGGCAGCUUCGUGCAGGACCCUGAGGGCAUGGGAGCAGUGAGAGCAGACAUUCAGCAGACCAGAGUGGGCACCUGUGGCUGCAGAAAGGUUGAGAAGGGGCAGGCUGGGCCCCGUGUGUGCGGGGGCCAAGGUCCCUGUGCAGAGGCAAACAGACCAGAAGGCCAGGUGUUGGCUCCAGAGACCCUCUGCACCCACUGUGCCCCCCGGCUGCACCCCCUACAUUCCAGCUGGCCUGGGCACCAGAGAGAAAGCCAUAUACCUGUUCUGGGCCAGGCCAUGACUGAGGCAUCCCCGGCCACCUGCUCCCACCCUCCCCAGGACUGUACCCCCCACCUCACAAAUCCAGGCCACGGUCCCUGCCCCAGGAUCCUGGCCCCGUGGCUCACCCUCCCUCCCACACACCUCUGGGCUGGCCCCCAGCUGGACACUGUGCAGUCCAGGGUGGUUUUAUUCAGGCCCAGCCCUCAGAGCCCGACCAGUGGAGGAGAUGGCCCAGGACAGCAGCGACAGCCCAGUGUGAGCCAGGCACACUGGGGGCAGCAGCACACUGGGAAAGCACAGAGCCACCUCCCUUCCUACCCCUGCUUCCAGAGCCAGGGACUGAGAUCAGGCAGCUGGGGCAAGAGCCACACUGCAGGGAGGGCAGUGGGGAAGCAGGGAAGCCGUUGGGUGUGGGGCUGGGGGCUGUGGAUGGAGGAUGAAGCUGUGCAUGGGGGUUGGGGCUGCCUCCCUCCUCUGCCUCCCCCCAAGGCAGCAGGGAGCUGCAGCUGGUUCAAGCCAGCACACUGGAGUCUGACUUGCAGCUGAGAAGGAUGCCUCUGGCAGGCAGGCUUCUGGCUGCUCUGACAGUUCAGUCCUGUGAGCAGUGCCCAUCCUGCCCAACCACGCAGGGCAGCCCUGCUAGGUUCAGCAUGGACAGUGCCCAAUGGCCCUGUGGGUAGAAAGGAGGCCACCUUCUCCAGGUGCCUGCUGGCUACCUUGCCCAGUCCCCCCACCUCACCACCAUCUCUGAGUACCCCUCCCUCCUGGCAGCUCCGCUGCAGGGAGGAGGCCACAGCUGUUGCCCCAGGCAGCUCCUUUGCCUCUGCUGCAGAGGCAGGAAGGCCUGUCCCGCCCCACCUGCGGUGGCCAGUGCUGGAAGCAGGAAGUUGGGUAUCAGGCCACCUGUGCACCUGCCCUCUGCCUGUCCUGCUCAGGAGGAGCAGGAAGGGUGGAGAGGCUGGGCCUCAGGCUGGACGUGGCCCCAAAGCCUGUGCACUCCCCCACCCAGGCCUGGGCCCACCCCAGCCCUGCUUCUGCUGUUCCAGAGAGGAUCCCUGAAUCCCCGGACAGGCCCGGGCAGAACCUUGCCUCCUCUGGCUUCAGGGUCGCUGGGUGUGCUGGGCAGGGCCCCUCGUGCCCCUUCUGUCAAGAGAGAGGAUGAGGGCCCUGAGGCCAGAGGGGCCCAGCCUGGACAGCCCGAUGCCCCCGGAGAAGUGGUCAGCUGCAGAACAGCCCUCUCAUCCAUGGCGGGGGACAUUGGAGCACGAAUCCCCCAGGGGUGGGCCAGGCUGGGUGCCAGGACAAGGUUGCAUUCACAGGUGGGGAAACUGAGGCACAGAAAGGGCAGGGACUUGCCCAGGAAUCCCAGUGGGUUCCAGGCUGCUGGGGUCCAGCUUUCACCUUUCACUCCCUACCAGCUGGUGGGUUCCAAGGCCCUUUGGGGUACCUCUCUUUGCGAGGGUCUGGGCACAACACACCUUGCCUAUGGGGGUACAGCCCACUGCCUGCUCAGCGUGUCUCCACAGAUCUCGCCAUGGAUGACGGGCCUGAGCAUGAGACCAGCAUGUCGGGGCCUGAGCCUGAGCGUGAGACCAGCACGUCAGGGCCCAAGCCACUGGCUCAGGCUUCAGCCUCUGCACACACAGCGUCACAGGAGCCUUCCAGGAGGCGGCCACAGAGGGGGGCCCUGGAGGACCCUCGUGUGGGAAGAGGGGGCCUGCACCUGCAUAAGGCAGGCCCUGGGGCAGGGUGGGGUCAUUGGUGUCUCCUUCACCCCUGGGCCUGGAACCAGCUGGAGCCUUUGGGUCCAGUGAGCUGUGCAUCUUGGGCGACUAGGGGCCCACGUGGAGGCUGGGGACCACAGGAGCAGACAAGCCUCCAACGUCCAACAGCACCUCCCAAGCAGGAGCGUCCAGCCAGACCUGGCAUGGCCCCCAAGGAAGCCGGGAGGCUGCUCAGAAAGAUACGGUGAAGUCCUAACCCUGGAACAUGUGGACAUGGCCUUGCUUGGAAAUAGGGUGUCUGAAGGUGUUGCCAGCUAACAUGAGGUCACACAGGAGGGGGUGGGUCCUGAUCCAACCUGGAUGGUGCCCUCUAAAAGAGAAGAAGAGACACAGAGAGACAUGGAGGGAAGAUGGACAUGUGACCACGGAGCAGAGACAGAACAACGCGGCCACAAGCCACAGAACAUGAAGUUGGUAGAGACCAGGAAGGACCCUCGCCUAGAGCCUCCAGAGGGAGCGCGGUCCUGCCGACCCGUGAUUUCAGACCCCUGCCCCCAGUGCCGUGAGAAGCCCUGGUGUGUGGUCCUUUGACACAGACACCCCAGGACACUUACAGAGCCAGGCUAGGAUUCAAAGACCACCCCCCCCCCCACUGCCCCUCUUAGACAGGAAUCCUUUAGGGCAGGUCUGGGCUCAGCACCUACAGGGUCCCCGCCUGUGUGGCCCUGUGGGCAGGCUCCUCUCUGACCCCCAGGCACGGAGGAGAAAGUGGGCUGUGGGUUCCCCCCACACGGAGAAUAUGGGGCCCAGACCCACGCUCAGGCACUAAGACAGGAGCCUGACUGCAGCUCCCGAGGGCCGGCUCUCCACCUCUGUCCUCAGGGGACAGAGCAGGGGCUGGACUCGGGCAAGGGAGGUGGCUACAAUCCCGCGUCCUUGCUCCCCCCGCCAGUGCACUGAGGCCGGGAGGGGGCAGGUGUGGCCACUUCUAGGGGGGCAGGAGCUGGUAUCAUGUUAGCUGGCCCAGGUCCCACCUGGGUAGGGAUGACCCUUGGCUGUGGGUCACCUGCCACUUUGGGAGUGGGCUGCGUUCUGGGUGACCAGAGGCUGACCCUUUGCGUGUGGGCCCAGGCGUCUGGCUUUCCGGCCCCCAUGUGCAUUGCACAAGCCCGUGGGGUCGUCAACACAAACAACCAAAUUGCACCACCGAGUUCCCUUCCUGGCUUCCUCUUUGCUCUGCAGCAGAUGAGCGGGUGCCCUGGGCCCUGUCAGGGUGCCAACCUCCACCCAUUCCUCCUCAGAAGCCUGGCUCCAGCAGAUGCCCUUGGCCUGUCACUGGGGGGUUCUGUGCCCCGGGAGACGAGGGGCCAGAGCCUUCUCCUGAAAUGGCCUCCUGUGGACACAGGGCUGCCACUCCGAUGCUGCGCUCAGCGGCAAGCGCUCUGACAGUUACAACUCAGGACAUUUGCAAAGCGGAAGCAGAGGCCCACAGCACGGAAGUGGUUCCGGUGCUUUCCUGUCUGUGGGCUCAUCUGCACUGUACCCAGUGCUGCAGACAGGACCAGCAUCUUCUCAUCUCAAGGGGAAACAGGCUCAGACAGACGCCUGGCCCCGGAGGAUCCCUGAAAUUCCUCCUCUUCCAGGAAGCUGUCCUGGACUACCCCUCCAGAAGGGAUCUCUGGCUCUGUGGGCGACGAGGAGUCCUGCUUCACCUGCUGCUGCCCCUCUGCUCAUGCCAUUCCCGUGCCCCCUCUGCCCAGCCAGGUGCUGAGGACACUGGGCAUGUUCAGUUCUUCUCUGUCUUCAUCCACCAGACUUGGCAGACACUAAACCAAAUCAAAAUGAUUGCAGUGGAGUCGAAUCCAACUAUAGCGACCCUAUAGGACAGAGUAGAACUGCCCCAUAGGGUUUCCAAGGCUGUAAAUCUUCAUGGAAGCAGGCUGCCAGGCCUUUCUCCCUCAGAGCGGCCGCUGAGCUUGACCCACCAACCUUUCAGUUAGCAGCCGAGCGCUUAAUCACUGUGCCACUAGGGAUCCUUCAGUA